AUUGAACGCUGGCGGCAUGCCUAACACAUGCAAGUCGAACGGCAGCACGGCAGUAGCAAUACUGUGGGUGGCGAGUGGCGGACGGGUGAGGAAUACGUCGGAAUCUGCCCAGUCGUGGGGGAUAACUAGCCGAAAGGUUAGCUAAUACCGCAUACGACCGAGAGGUGAAAGCGGGGGACCGCAAGGCCUCGCGCGAUUGGAUGAGCCGACGUCGGAUUAGCUAGUUGGUGGGGUAAAGGCCCACCAAGGCGACGAUCCGUAGCUGGUCUGAGAGGAUGAUCAGCCACACUGGAACUGAGACACGGUCCAGACUCCUACGGGAGGCAGCAGUGGGGAAUAUUGGACAAUGGGCGCAAGCCUGAUCCAGCAAUGCCGCGUGUGUGAAGAAGGCCUUCGGUUGUAAAGCACUUUAUUCAGGAACGAAAAGACGUUGGAUUAAUACUCUGACGUGCUGACGGUACCUGAGGAAUAAGCACCGGCUAACUUCGUG
rnacentral:rRNA from 1 species